GCUCCUGAGCUCAAGCUAUCCACUUGCCUCAGCCUCCCAAAUUGCUGAGAUUAGAAGAAUGAGCCACUGUGCCUGUGACUUACUUCUAACCCACAGAAUAGAGCAACAGUGAGAGGAUGUCAAUUCUGUGAUAGAUUGCAAAAUAUUGUAAGUUCCUAGCAGUCUUUCUCAUUGGUUUCAAUAAAAAAAAGCUGCUGUGCUGGAGGGACCCAUGAGGCAAAGAACUGAGAGCAGCCUUUAGCUAACAGCCGGCAAGGAAUGAGGUGCUUGGUCCAGCAAUCACAGAGAAACUGAAUCCUGCUGAUGAUCAUGAGGGUGAGCUUGGAAGCAGAUUCUGUCCCAGAUGAACUUUGAUUGUGUCUUGUUAGAAACCCUGGACCAACUCCUUGAUUGCACCUGUGAGAGGCCCUGAAGCGGAGGGCCCAGCUAAGGUGUGUCUGGAUUUCUGACCCACAGAAACUGAGAUCAUAAAUGUGUGGUUUUAAGCCCGUAAGUUUUGGAAUACAGUAGAUCUUCAUUAUUCACAGAUUUUGCACUUGCAAAUUUGCUUACUCGCUAAAAUUUAUUUGUAUCCCUAAAAUCAGUACUCCAGCACUUUCACAGUCAUUUACGGCAUCUGCAGAGCAGUGAAAAAUUUGAAUUGCCUGAGAUACAUGCUCCCUGCUGAAGUCGCACAAGCUGGCCAAUCCUGCUAAUCCUUUAAAACUCACCUGGAGGGAAGGCCUCCUUCUGCAAAGCCUCUCUUGAUGCAGAUUAUCAGCUUUCACUCUCUACCAGAUGGCAAGGAUAUUGCUGUUGGCUCAUAGGAUGUGAACAGUGGUGUUGAGAUUACCCUCAUUUGGCUGAUGAUGUCAUUGAGGCCCAGAGAAGGUAAGUAAUGUACCAAGGUUACAGACUAGUAAGUGACAGAGAUGGGUUUUGAGCCCCAUUCUUCUACAUUGUGUGCAAUAGCUCAUAUCAAGGUCACUAAAGCUGAAGACUGAAUUAUUUAUUCAAAUACUGCCAUCAUGCACCAAUAUUCUCAACAGGUAGGACACCUGGCAGGGCCUGGCUUUGGGGCUAACUUCUGCAGCUCUUUUGAUUGCCCCCACCUUACAGUUUUUGGCACAGAGCACUGUGUAGCUGGCACUUCUCUACUGGCCCGAAUGAGAAAACUUCCUCAGAGCAAAAUGUCAAGCACCAAAUAAGAUUCAUGUUUACUGUGAAGUGAUUGCUGCUUUUUAAAUGCUUAUCAGAAGCCGAAGGACAAACUCAGUAGGUUGAUUCAUGCUGAGCUCGACUACCUCCGUGAGAAAUGACUCUCCUGUAGGGCUCGAUGACCUUCAUGUCAAUGCGCUGCUCUUGUUCUCCAAUGACCACUGUCCUCCAAAGCCGGUUGUCCUCCCGUUCCUCUUCGGCCGUAUAUUCUGGAAUAGACUCUGACUCUUGGCCAGAAUCUUUGUUGGCUGUGGGAUCUUCUGGAAACAAAGCACAGAGCAAGGCUGAAGGAGCAAGACCUCCACAGUGCAGCUAAACAGCCAAAUGAUCCGCUACAUCCUACCUUCUCUGUGACGACUUUGAAAAGUGUCCAUGAAUUCUUUGACACUCUUUUCAAAAGGUGGAGCCUAAUUUCCCGUCCCUUAAGUGUGGACUGAUGAUUUGCUUCUAAAGAACAGAAUAAGGUGGAAUGGAUGGUAGGUGACUUCUAAGGCUAGGUCCUAAAAAGCACUGUGUGCUUUGUUCUCUCUUGGGUCUCUCAGUCUGGGAGAAACCAGCUACCCUGUUGUAAGGACAGUCAAGCAGCCCUGUGGAGAGUCCAUGUGGCAAGGAACUGAGGCUUCCUGUGAAAAUCCAGGAAGGAACUGAAGCCUUCUGCCAACAGCCAUGUGAACGAGCCAUCUUGGAGGCAGAUCCUGCAGCCUGGCUAAUGUCUUGAUGGCAACUUAACAAGAUACCUUAAGCCAGAACCAUCUAGCUAAUACACUCUUGAAUUCCUAUUACAAACACUGGGAAAUAAUCAAUGUUUGUUGUUUUAAGCUGCUAAACUUUGAUAUUAUUUAUUUUAUUCAUUUAUUUUUUG
rnacentral:lncRNA from 1 species